rnacentral:rRNA from 1 species
UACGGGGGGGGCAAGCGUUGUUCGGAAUUACUGGGCGUAAAGGGCUCGUAGGUGGCCAACUAAGUCAGACGUGAAAUCCCUCGGCUUAACCGGGGAACUGCGUCUGAUACUGGAUGGCUUGAGUUCGGGAGAGGGAUGCGGAAUUCCAGGUGUAGCGGUGAAAUGCGCAGAUAUCGGGAAGAACACCCGUGGCGAAGGCGGCUCUCUGGAACGCAACUGACGCUGAGACGCGAAAGCGUGGGGAGCAAACAGG